CAAUAGCGUAUAUUUAAGUUGUUGCAGUUAAAACGCUCGUAGUGUGACUUCGGUCUAGCUCCGUAGGUCUGCCAGUCCGUCUGGUGUGCACUUGCGGGGUUUGGCUAACAGUCGAGAGCGCAUUGCACUUGAUUGUGUGUCGGCCUCGGUGCAGAUACUUUGAGUAAAGGUUCGUGUUCUAAGCAAGCGGUUCGCUUGAUACUUGCAGCAUGGGAUAUCGAGACAGGACUUGGAUCCUAUCUUGUUGGUUCUCGGGAUCCAAGUAAUGGUUAACAGGAAUAGUUGGGGGCACUCGAAUUUGGCAGCUAGAGGUGAAAUUCUUGGAUUUGCCAACGACGAACUACUGCGAAAGCAUUUGCCAAGGAUGUUUCCAUUAA
rnacentral:rRNA from 1 species